UGGGGAAUAUUGGACAAUGGGCGAAAGCCUGAUCCAGCAAUGCCGUGUGUGUGAAGAAGGCCUGCGGGUUGUAAAGCACUUUAAGUCGGGAAGAAAAGCUGUGUGCUAAUACCAUACAGUGUUGACGUUACCGACAGAAUAAGCACCGGCUAACUCUGUGCCAGCAGCCGCGGUAAUACAGAGGGUGCGAGCGUUAAUCGGAAUUACUGGGCGUAAAGGGUGCGUAGGCGGUCUGAUAAGUCGGAUGUGAAAUCCCUGGGCUUAACCUAGGAAUUGCAUACGAUACUGCCAGACUUGAGUACAGUAGAGGAUAGUGGAAUUCCACGUGUAGCGGUGAAAUGCGUAGAUAUGUGGAGGAACACCAGUGGCGAAGGCGGCUAUCUGGACUGAUACUGACGCUGAGGCACGAAAGCGUGGGGAGCAAACA
rnacentral:rRNA from 1 species